AACGAACGCUGGCGGCGUGGAUAAGACAUGCAAGUGGGACGCUAAUCAAUGGGUAGCAAUAUUCGUUGGUUGGAGUCGCGUAAGGGUGCGUAACACGUGGGUAAUUUUGCCGCGAAGCUCGGAAUAACUUGCCGAAAGGUAAGCUAAUACCGAAUGUGACUCGUGCUGGGCAUCCAGUAUCAGUCAAAGCCGGGGAUCGUAAGACCUGGCACUUCGCGAUAAGCCCGCGGCCUAUCAGCUAGUUGGUGAGGUAAUGGCUCACCAAGGCUUAGACGGGUAGCUGGUCUUAGAGGACGACCAGCCACACUGGAACUGAGACACGGUCCAGACACCUACGGGUGGCAGCAGUCGAGAAUUUUUCACAAUGGGCGAAAGCCUGAUGGAGCGACGCCGCGUGGGGGGAUGAAUGGCUUCGGCCCGUAAACCCCCUGUCAUUCGGGGAUCAAAUCUGAUAACCUAACACGUUGUUAGUUGAUAGUACUGAAAGAGGAAGGGACGGCUAACU
rnacentral:rRNA from 1 species